UCUCCUGCUUUUCUCCACUUCAGGUCUUCAAGGCCUGCAAAGGAAUAUUUGAGGGAGAACAGGAGAAAUCUGCUUCAUGCAAAAACAUCUCCACGUUUGAAUUUCUCUCACCUAAACUCUUUAAGGCCUGCAUAGACGAUAUCUGAGGUGGAAAAGGAGGAAUGCGCUUCAUGCCAAAAGAAAAUCCCAUUUAUUUCUCUACCCAUGGCCCUUAAGGCCUGUAAAGAGAACAUCUGAGGAGUUAAAGGAGACAUGACCCAGAUGCAGAUUUCCUCUGGUUGUUGGGGGUUUUUUUUAACCUCACCCUUAACUUAAAGUCCUUGUGCUUUCUGACAGAGAAAACACAACAUACUUGGACUGAAAAGGGGAGAUUUGCUCUCUGCAAAAUUUUCCCCUUGAUCUUGCCACCUCAGGCCCUCCCCCUAAGCCUCUGCGUUAGGAGAGAAAUGAAAAUGUUUGAGACAAAAGAAAAAGGUAAAACUUGCUUCAUGCAAACAAACCUCCUGCUUAUUACACCACCUCUGGCCUUCACGGCCCCUUCAUUUAGAGUUGAGAUGAAGAAGGAGGCAUGUGCUACGUGCCAGUAAAUCUGCUGCUUAUUUCUCCACCUUAGGUCUUUAAGGCCUUUUAUUUUAUAGUGGAGAUAGACUUAGCCGGAGUGCCAGACAGAGAGAAGAGAAUCCCUACACCGUCUAACUGGCUCCAUGCCAAAAUCUCGCUGUGCACCCUCCCGCGCUCCCUUCAGGCUCCACGCCUGGUCUUUAUGGCUUGGGCUGUUGGAGAGAGAGCAAAGAGGUAGGAAUGGGGUGAAGAGCUUCAUGCUAAUUCCCCCACCCCCCACCCCACCCUAAUCCCUGAAAGGGGUUUCCCCUUUAUCCUUCCACUCUGCCUGCUCUGCCACCUCAACUUUGGACAAAGUCACCAAACCACUCCUUGCCGUGGAACCAGAUCCGGCAUCCUAAGAGCCGAGAUAGUCUGAGUGUGCAAAUGAUGGAGAAAGGAAUGGGGCCAGCCGGCUCGACUCGAGAAAGGCUCCAUUUCCGCCGUACGACCGAGGAGGAAGGAAAAUCGGAUGACGGUUGGGUUUGGAGAAAAUCCGGCCACUGGUUAAGAGGAAACCGCUCUGGACCCGAGGCUCGGUCUCGAGCCCGGGUCCAGGCUACUGGAGGGCGAUCAAAGAAAAUGUGAGGGGGAGGAGGGAUUUCUGCCUCAUGCCAAAUUCCUGAAAAACUUUACUUCAUGUCAGACGGCCUCUCCUCCAGGGCCCUCCUGCCUUCAAAACCUGAAAAGACACUAUUUGAGUCAAAAAAGGCCUCGUAGGCAACCUGGGAUAUAUCUCCUGGGAGCCCUCUGGUUUUCAGAGCGGUUAGAGCUGCUCCAUUUGGACCAUUUCGGCUCAUUUUCCACGGGCAGAAAAUGUGUCCAGUUCUAGAGGGAAAUACCUUUCACAAGUCUAUAGUGUUUUUAUGUCAGGAUUACAAUUUCAAACCUGGUAUGACGAAAGCACAACCGAGAUAACCCCCUGUCCCUCUCUAAAUCCUGGUUGACCAACUCAAUGUUCAAUGGAAUGUUAUUUCUCUCUCAUUCAGGAGAUAGAAAACAACAAAAAGAUUCCUGCAAUCCACCACAGCAGCCUUUAAAAAGUCAAUAAAAUAGCUAAAUAAAAUCAAAAUAAAUAUAAAACGCAAGGAGGAUCAGCUCAGUACGAUACAAUAAAAUAGUUUAAAAUAAAAUUUAAUACUAAAAUCACUGACAUAUAAAAAAGUUGACAUAUAAAAAUGCCCCACACUCAUUCCCUUGGACGUUGACGUAUGGGAAAUCUUAGGAUUAAAAAAGAGAAAAAUUCCGUGUAUUCGAAGACCCAAAACGGGGAGGUUUAUCUCUGCCUUUUUUCUCUGCCUUUUCUAUCGCGAUCAAAUGAAUGGCUUUAUGAGCGCCAACUGACUAGAGCACUAUAGACCCACCCAAAACUUCAAGGGAAACUUCAGCCCAGGUUCAAGGCGCUUUGACUUCAUACACUUGGUUUUCGAAUGCCUGUCACAUUGAGUGUUUUGUGCUCAAGGUUUUGAAUCUGUGCAGAUCUGGGGGGCUUCUACUCUGGGCUGAAUCUCCCCUGUCUGGCUGUUGGUAAGCACCUGGAGGAGCAGAGGUAAGUGCGCGAUCGGACGGUAGGAACGUACUCAUUUCCGUGAAGGGGGGCGGUUCAGGGGAUAUCCUCAGGGUGGCCCUGGGCUCUGGCAAUGCUUUUUUCCUGAAGGUCAGUGCAUCUGCACCUGCCUUAACAUUUCCUCUGCAACAUCUGCUGGUAGGAUUUUGUUGCCCAGGUAAAGCGUUCCCAGAUCCAGGGGGGCGGAAAUGAGGCGAAGGUGCCGCGGACCCAGAAGGAGAAAACAGCCCGCACGACUGCGACGUCCGUCGGAGACACGGCCGCUGUCCCCGCGGCCCUGUAUUGCAGCAGGGGGCUAGCGGGGGCAGCCCGGUGAAAGGGGACCGGUGGGGGUUGGGGAUGGGGAGGAGGGUGCUGACAGACUAGGCUGGAGGAGGUGGGGAUGGAGGGGCCCAACUAAUCCCACUGCAGCACUGCCACUAGGUGCCCCCUGAUCCUCAGUGGGAGGCCCACUGCAGGGGGGACGGUGGCAGUGCCGGGGGAGGGAGCAGCAGGGAAGAGGGUGUGGCUGGGGACCCCUUCCCUAUGAUCUUUUCCCGUCUGCCUUCCCUCCCUUUUUUCCAGCUCCUUCCAUUUCUCCUCCCUAACCUUUCCUCCCUAAAGACAAAGAGUGAAAAAUGUUGUUUCAACAGCCCACCCCCCACCAUUCGAGGACCACGGAUCUGCAGCCAAGCCAGCCCUGCCUUCUCCCUGGACGCUCAGCAGCCGGAGGGAAACAGUCCUGAAGCGCUCCUGACUUCACGCCACCGGACCCGGACCCGGACGCGGACGUGGACCGGACCCAGACCCGGACCCAGACCCGGAACUACACCAGCGCAGACCACCCAGCCCCACCUCACCCCAACGCCCUCCACCAGCCCAGACCACCCAGCCCCACGCCCAACCCCCACCAGUCCCGACCCAAGCAAGCCUCAGAAUGUCUUCUGGGGCUUGGGGUUGUCCCUGACCCCCACUGGAUCCACCCCUGCCCCUUCCAGCUCCUUCAGAGCUAGCCAAGAGGAGCAGAAACCGGCAGAGGAGACGAGAACAACUUGCUGCUGCUGCUGCUGCCACCACCACCUGCGGGUCCGAGGAGUUGCACCUGGGCCUACUUUACUCUGGCAGAAACUCUGAUUGCUCUUCACCCAUCAAGCCUUAUCCCUGUCUUUUCAAGUACCCCCACUUGCACUCUGAGCUCCUUCCAAAAUUUUGGGACCUAUGGAAUGGCCAUAAAUAAUGCAAUCCUUGCUCAUGUUGUGGAAACGGUCGUGGUACCCCUUUGCCUUAUGUUACACUUGUGCCCAGGAAAGAAAACCUGUUCUUCCCCAAAACACUGUUCAUCAGUAAAACUUGUUAAAACCCCA